CCUACGGGAGGCUGCAGUGGCGAAUAUUGCACAAUGGGGGAAACCCUGAUGCAGCGACGCCGCGUGAGUGAAGAAGUAUUUCGGUACGUAAAGCUCUAUCAGCAGGGAAGAAAAUGACGGUACCUGACUAAGAAGCCCCGGCUAACUACGUGCCAGCAGCCGCGGUAAUACGUAGGGGGCAAGCGUUAUCCGGAUUUACUGGGUGUAAAGGGAGCGUAGACGGCAGCGCAAGUCUGGAGUGAAAUCCCAUGGCUUAACCAUGGAACUGCUUUGGAAACUGUGCAGCUAGAGUGCAGGAGAGGUAAGCGGAAUUCCUAGUGUAGCGGUGAAAUGCGUAGAUAUUAGGAGGAACACCAGUGGCGAAGGCGGCUUACUGGACUGUAACUGACGUUGAGGCUCGAAAGCGUGGGGAGCAAACAGGAUUAGAUACCCCGGUAGUC
rnacentral:rRNA from 1 species